rnacentral:sRNA from 1 species
GAAAGAGGGUCGCGGACUAUUCCGCGACCCUUUUUCCCGUUGCGGCAGCAUUCGGAGUUCGGCUACCGGCCGCUGCCGGCAAGCGGAAG